rnacentral:lncRNA from 1 species
GGAUUUUCAGCAAAGGCAUAGUGGUGAAUUAUUGUAGAUUCUUCAUCAUAUAAUGCUUUACCUAAAAACCACUCCUUAGAGGUGUCAAAUCUUCUAAGUAUUUCUAGCAGCUUUACAACUUGUAUUCUUGUAUCUUCUUCACAGAAGAAAAUCCAUGAGGAGUUCCUACCGUAGGCAACAGAGAAAUCUCUCAUUAGUGGUAAUAUGGUCCAUGCACC